rnacentral:rRNA from 1 species
AGCGAACGCUGGCGGCAGGCCUAACACAUGCAAGUCGAACGAAGUCUUCGGACUUAGUGGCGGACGGGUGAGUAACACGUGGGAACGUACCUUUUGGUUCGGAACAACUCAGGGAAACUUGAGCUAAUACCGGAUGAGCCCUUAGGGGGAAAGAUUUAUCGCCGAAAGAGCGGCCCGCGUUAGAUUAGCUAGUUGGUAAGGUAAAGGCUCACCAAGGCUACGAUCUAUAGCUGGUCUGAGAGGAUGAUCAGCCACACUGGGACUGAGACACGGCCCAGACUCCUACGGGAGGCAGCAGUGGGGAAUCUUGCGCAAUGGGCGAAAGCCUGACGCAGCCAUGCCGCGUGAAUGAUGAAGGUCUUAGGAUUGUAAAAUUCUUUUACCAGGGACGAUAAUGACGGUACCUGGAGAAAAGGCCCCGGCUAACUUCGUGCCAGCAGCCGCCGUAACAC